CAGUUAAUGAAAGGGUAUAUUUAGAAUUUUGCUAUUCAGUAUUUGACUAUUGAAAGCAGUGGAUACGUAUACCAAUCCGUCAUGAAGUUAAUAGUGUUUUUUAUUUUACUAGUUCUGUGCUAUGAAGCCCAAGAAAGAGAAAUAUCUUGCUCGGAAAAAGGAUUCAUAUGCUAUGGUGAGAAUAAAUUUUAUCAUUGCGUACUAAACAAAGGCAACUACGUGAUCAUAGGAGAACCCCAGUAUUGUCCUGAUGGAUUAUUUUGUAGCGAUUCUUCUGAAUACGAGUGUGACAUAGAACUGUUUGAGAAAAAUCCAAAACCCGAAAUAACCGAAUUUUAAUAUUUAGCGAUAGUAAAUGUAAUCAUUAUAUGUAUUUCAAGAUAUUUCAAAAAUAUGACUUUGAUUUUAAUAAAAAUAUGAAAAUAUU